rnacentral:sRNA from 1 species
CUAAUUGUUUUCUGCUGAUAUAUAAAAAAUACAAGCCAAAAGAAAAGUCAACAAAAGACAUGAAUAGAUAUUUCCUAGAAAAGAAACUAUGAAGAGAUGCUCAUCACCACCAAGGAGCAGAGAAUUACAAAUCAAGAAUACAGUGAGAUCCAUUUGAACCACAGCGACGUCUCCCCGCGAAGAAAAGUCGACAACAACUUCAGCGAGAAAAAGCCCUUGUAGAGCAAAGCCAAAAACUUGGGCUUCAAGAUGGAUCAACCUCAUUACUUCCAGAGCAGCUGCUUUCAGCACCAAAACAGAGAGUUAACGUUCAAAAACCACCUUUUUCUUCCCCUACUCUUCCGAGUCAUUACACUCUCACCUCUCCUGUUGGUGAUGGACAACCACAGGGCAUUGAAAGUCAGCCAAAGGAACUGGGACUUGAGAAUUCCCAUGAUGGUCACAAUAAUGUUGAGAUUCUACCUCUAAAGCCAGAUUGCAAAUUGGAGAAAAAGAAAGUGGAAUUGUUAGUAAGUCUAUAUGAAAAGUCCAUGAGACUUUUCAUUUAACCCGUUUUUUCCUAAUGGGCUUUAAGGAAAUAUAAUUUGUUUAUUUUAA